rnacentral:rRNA from 1 species
CAGUCGUACCGACGAGAAAUCAACUUAUCGUGUGCGAACUUGUGGGCGUGCGUGAGUUUCGGCCUCGCUGUUUGCAUGUUUGUGCGCUUUGGGUGUACUUUUUCGUAUGGUAGGCCAACGUCAGUUUCGAUUAUCAUAAAAUGACCGGCGGAAUGUAGCUUCGAUUUCGGUUGAAGUGUUAUAGCCUCUGGUAGAUGUGGUGAUUGGGACUGAGGAUUGCAACGAAUACCCUUUGGGCUAUCCGUCUGGCCUCUGAAAGUUGCUCAGGUGCCGAAAGCGUGCUUACGGUCAUCUAAGAUAACGUUCAACAGGCUAGAACGUGAUUACA